AUAAUACGUAUCUCUAUAUCACAUGUAAUAUCACGUAACUUAACAUAAACACAUGCGUUGAAAAGUUGACUGAUUGAAGACCUUAUUACUUUACAGUUUAACAACAGGCACAAUGGCGAGACGCAGAUUACAACUAAUGAUGGACUUGUCUGGUGUAAAUAGUAAUAAUAAUUU